AGUGAACGCUGGCGGUAGGCCUAACACAUGCAAGUCGAACGGCAGCACAGUAAGAGCUUGCUCUUACGGGUGGCGAGUGGCGGACGGGUGGGGAAUACAUCGGAAUCUACUUUUUCGUGGGGGAUAACGUAGGGAAACUUACGCUAAUACCGCAUACGACCUACGGGUGAAAGCAGGGGAUCUUCGGACCUUGCGCGAUUGAAUGAGCCGAUGUCGGAUUAGCUAGUUGGCGGGGUAAAGGCCCACCAAGGCGACGAUCCGUAGCUGGUCUGAGAGGAUGAUCAGCCACACUGGAACUGAGACACGGUCCAGACUCCUACGGGAGGCAGCAGUGGGGAAUAUUGGACAAUGGGCGCAAGCCUGAUCCAGCCAUACCGCGUGGGUGAAGAAGGCCUUCGGGUUGUAAAGCCCUUUUGUUGGGAAAGAAAAGCAGCAGGUUAAUACCCCGCUGUUCUGACGGUACCAAAAGAAUAAGCACCGGCUAACCUCGUG
rnacentral:rRNA from 1 species